UAAUAUUGGUGAAUGGGAGCAAUCCUGAACCAGCAAUGCCGCGUGUGGGAUGAAGGCGCUUCGCGUCGUAAACCACUGUCGGACGGGACGAAAGGAGCUAUGAAGCUCUAGGACGGUACCGUCAAAGGAAGGAUCGGCUAACUACGUGCCAGCAGCCGCGGUAAUACGUAGGAUCCAAGCGUUGUCCGGAUUUACUGGGUAUAAAGGGUGCGUAGGCGGCCUUGUGCGUCAGAGGUGAAAUCUCCGGGCUUAACCCGGAGGGUGCCUUUGAUACGGCAGGGCUUGAGUGCGAGAGAGGAUGAUGGAAUUCCUGGCGUAGCGGUGAAAUGCGUAAAUAUCAGGAGGAACACCGGUGGCGAAGGCGGUCAUCUGGCUCGAAACUGACGCUGAGGCACGAAAGCGUGGGGAUCAAACAGGAUUAGAUACCCUGGUAGUCCACGCCCUAAACGAUGUAUGCUUGGUGUUGGGGUCGCAAGAUCUCAGUGCCGUAGGAAAUCUGAUAAGCAUACCACCUGGGGAGUACGAUCGCAAGGUUGAAACUCAAAGGAAUUGACGGGGGCCCGCACAAGCGG
rnacentral:rRNA from 1 species